AAUUAAUAAAUUUGUUUUAAUAUAAUGUUGAAAAGAUGAAUUAAUUAAAUAAAUUUAUGUUAUUGUAUAAUGAAUUGAUGUAAUAUUUUAUACUAUAGUUUAUUAGUACUGUGAAGUAAAAUAAGUUAAUAUUAUAAAUUGAGAAAGGUAUUAUAAAUAAUGUAUCUUGUGUUUCAGAAUAUAUUAAAAUAUAGGAUCAAUUUUUUUUCUUCUCGAAUUUUAAAGAUUUAAUUAGAUAAUUUAGUUAUUAUGUUAUAAAUAUUAAAAAUUUCUAUAUUGGUAAUGAAAUGUUAUUCGUUUUAUAGGAUAUCUAGUUUUUUAAUAAAUGAAUUUAAUUCAUGAGGUAUAAAUUAUAUUUAUAAAUUUAUAUAAAUAUAUUUUGUAUUUUAAAUUUUUAAAAGGAUUAGCUUUUAAGAAUAAUAUUUAUAAUAAUGUUAUUAAAUGGAAUUUUAUGAAUUUAGAAGUAGUUUUUAAUUAAAGGGUGUUAAAAUUUAAUUCUUAUUUUACUAAAAUUUUUAUAUAUUUAAUUUAUAUAUUAAAAUGUUAAUUUAAAUUUAAAAUUGUUUAGUAAAUAUGAUUUAAUUAGUAAAUUGAAAUGUAAAUUAUUUUAAGUAAUUGAAAUGUUAUUAUGAGGAAUUAGGCAAAUAAAUCGCUCACCUGUUUAUUAAAAACAUGGUUUCUUGAUAAUUAUAAGAAAUCUAACCUGCCCACUGAAAGUAUUUAAAGGGCCGCAGUAUUUUGACUGUGCAAAGGUAGCAUAAUAAUUAGUCUUUUAAUUAAAGGCUGGUAUGAAUGGUUGAAUGAAGUGAAUACUAUUUUAUGUUAAUUAAUUAAUUGAAUUUAGAUUUUAAGUAAAAAGACUUAAAUGAAAUUAAGGGACGAGAAGACCCUAUAGAGUUUAAUAAUUAUAAUUUUAAUUAAGUUAAAAAUAAAUUUUUAAUUUUUAUUUUUGUAUUAUUUAAUUGGGGUGAUUAGAAAAUAUAAGAAACUUUUCUUUAACAUAAAUAUUUUAAGUAAAUAAAGGAUCCAUAAAUAAUGAUUAAAAGAUUAAAUUACCUUAGGGAUAACAGCAUAAUGCUUUUUAAGAGUUCAUAUUGAAAAAAGUGAUUAUGACCUCGAUGUUGGAUUAAGAUAAAUUUUGGAUGUAGAUGUUCAGAAAUUAGGUCUGUUCGACCUUUAAAAUCUUACAUGAUCUGAGUUUAAACCGGCGUGAGCCAGGUUGGUUUCUAUCUUUAAUUUUAUAAAAUGUUUUAGUACGAGAGGACCAAACAUUUAAAAUAAUUUUAAUUUAAUGAGUAAAAAUUAAU
rnacentral:rRNA from 1 species